GUCGAACGGUAACAGGAAGCAGCUUGCUUCUUUGCUGACAGAGUGGCGGACGGGUGAGUAAUGUCUGGGAAACUGCCUGAUGGAGGGGGAUAACUACUGGAAACGGUAGCUAAUACCGCAUAACGUCGCAAGACCAAAGAGGGGGACCUUCGGGCCUCUUGCCAUCGGAUGUGCCCAGAUGGGAUUAGCUAGUAGGUGGGGUAACGGCUCACCUAGGCGACGAUCCCUAGC
rnacentral:rRNA from 1 species